GAUGAACGCUGGCGGCGUGCCUAAUACAUGCAAGUCGAGCGAACGGACGAGAAGCUUGCUCCUCUGAUGUUAGCGGCGGACGGGUGAGUAACACGUGGAUAACCUACCUAUAAGACUGGGAUAAAUUCGGGAAACCGGAGCUAAUACCGGAUAAUAUAUUGAACCGCAUGGUUCAAAAGUGAAAGACGGUUUUGCUGUCACUUAUAGAUGGAUCCGCGCCGCAUUAGCUAGUUGGUAAGGUAACGGCUUACCAAGGCAACGAUGCAUAGCCGACCUGAGAGGGUGAUCGGCCACACUGGAACUGAGACACGGUCCAGACUCCUACGGGAGGCAGCAGUAGGGAAUCUUCCGCAAUGGGCGAAAGCCUGACGGAGCAACGCCGCGUGAGUGAUGAAGGUCUUCGGAUCGUAAAACUCUGUUAUUAGGGAAGAACAUAUGUGUAAGUAACUAUGCACGUCUUGACGGUACCUAAUCAGAAAGCCACGGCUAACUACGUG
rnacentral:rRNA from 1 species